CUGCGCCGCGGCUCGUGUCCCCGACGUGAAGCCGUCGCUGGUGUGGCUUGCUUUCCUCCACCCGCUCGGCUCCCUCGACUGCUCAGGCAGUUCCUUCUCGUCUAGGGCUGUUUGAGCCAAACCGUGCUAGAACUCAUGUUUUGAAAAGCCAGGCCACUCUGUAACCUGGUUCUGUUAGUAGCAUCUUGAGGAUGGGGAUUUUCAGUCAAGUGCUGUUCACAGUUUUGUAAGGAGCUUUAUUUGAACUCCUCGAAACUAAACACCUGAGACGGUGAAAGAUUAAGUGAUUUGCCUGCGAUAGCAUUAAAGUUCUUACCCAUAUGAUCAUCUUUGGGAUCAAUGCGACCGUGACGUUGAUUUCACCGAGCACUUUAGGAGACUGCUCAGGAAAAGCUACCAAUGAACAAAAUGGAAUUUGAAGCUGAAACACCUGGAAGACUUGGUAUGGACUUGGCCCUGGUCUUGAAGAAGGUACAAGGCACUUUGUCCUGCGUCAUGAAUUCAUUUGCCUUGGUGGGGUGGUGCGGUGUGGGGUGUGGGGCAGUGGGAGGAAUCCUCAGGUGAGAUGUCACUCCUGGCCUCUGUUGACAGAAGUUACAAUUGAGCUGAAGGGAUCUUCACCUCACCUUUUUUUCUUUCUCUCUCCUAUUUUUUAGGGGGGCAUAUGGAAGGUCCCAGGUAGAGGUUGAAUCAGAACUGCAGCUGCUGGUCUACGCCACAGCCACAGCAACACCAGAUCCUUAACCCACUGAAUGAGGCCAGGGACCGAACCUGCAUUCUCAGGGAUACUAGUCAGGUUCUUAACCCGCUGAGCCACCAAGGGAACUCUUACCUUUUUUUCAAUUGCCUCACCUAGACUGCUUGGAAAAUGUUAUGCUGGCUCUGGGAUUCAGUUCCAACCAGCAGACAGCUGCUGGUGUCACUAGCAUAGAUAUCUGUACUGGGACUGCCCAGGUCAGGACCCAAGCCAGCAGCCUGGGAGCCUCCUUGCCACACUUGAAAGGUGCAAGCCGAGUAGACCAGCCCCUGCCUCUUGCAGGACAGUGAAGCCCUCCCACUGAGCACAGGAGCCAGCCCAGCAAGCACAUGCAGCAGAAAUGGGAUCUGGGUUCUGAACCCAGAUUCUCUGCCCCAGGCUUCCUUGCUCAGUGCCCAGUGUGUCCUAGGAGAGAGGGAAGAGCCCCAGGGGAAACCCCACCCUUGGGGCCUCCGCUCCACAGAUAGGAAACAGAAGCAAGGCCACCCAGUUUAAAACCAAUGCAAGAUAUCAUACUGGCGUUCCCGUUGUGGUUCAGCAGGUUAUGAAUCAGAGUAGUAUCCAUGAGGCCUCGGGUUUGAUCCCUGGCCUCACUCAGUGGGUUAAAGAAUUUGGUGUUGCUGUGAGCUAUGGUUGUAGGUUGAAGACACAGCUCAGAUCUGGUGUUGCUGUGGCUGUGGUGUAGGCCGGCAGCUUCAGCUCUGAUUCUAUUCCUAGCCCGGGAACUUCCAUAUGCCAUGGGUGCGGCCCUAAAAAAAAAAAAAGAUAUCAUGUUAAUUAAAGGGGUCUGUAGACCCAAGACCUGGCUAGAUUCAGAUCCAGCAGUUAACCUAAAUCAGAUGGUGGAGAGCAAGAAUUUCAUGUAAGUAAAGAUAUGACCCCGCAACGUGCAAUUGAGCCGUUGCAGUGAAUUUUUUUUCUAGGCUGCAGAUAUUUCCCGUCAUAGAUAACAUGGUUUCUGACAGAGGAGCAUGUGGGUGGGGCUGCCGACUUUUUUUUUAUUCACUUCAAAAUCACUGCAAUUUGCUGAAGAAGUUUGAAUGAUUCCAACUUUUUUUUUUUUUAAGAAAAGCAGCUCUGAAAUGAAUGGCUUCAUUGAGUCAAAUUGCAGUAGAGCUCAUGCCAGAAAGAUCCCACUGCACCCCCAGGCGCCCAGCACCAGUUUUCCUCCUGGGUCACCUUGAAGACAGAGUUUGGUCCUUUCAUUAGGGGAUCCCUUUAUUUCUUCAUAGAUACUCUAGCCCUGUCUUGCCAGGGAAAUCACCUUUAGUUCACACAGCAGCCACAGAGCCAAGUGUUAAAUGCAGGGCACCACGCUGCUGUCACCUCACGACUCUCAGGAGGAGGCGGAUCCCUGGGCAGGUGGCUGGGGAGGGGCGCCCACUCACCUGUGUUGCUGAGGCCACAAAAUGUGCCACCACAAAGGACUCCAGUACCAUUAUAGGAGGUGACAGAAACUGUUUUGCAAAAA
rnacentral:lncRNA from 1 species